GUGAAGGUUACUUAGGACACUUUGAACGUCAGGGGAACGAAUCACUCGUCUUUUGUGGAACAAUGAAAAACUUUAUCUUUAAUUAAAUGGCAAAGGAAUGACUUUGUAAGGAGAAAUGGAUGUGAAUUCAUGUCCCAAGAACAUUACAGAGGUUUUAGAGUCCUCCUCCAGGCUGGGGUGUGGUCGGGACAAAUAUGGGAGCGACCAAUAUCUCUGUGUCCCUAACACAGACAAAACAGGACUUAUAGAACUAUGCUACAAUGGAACCAUGGGGUUAAUAAAAAGAGGCAACUGUUUGGAAACCGAUGGAGAAAAUCUUCACUGGAACAACUGCCUUGGAUUUUUAUCAGGUUGUC